AUUUUUAAAGCCCUCAAACUUUGAGGAAUUUAUUUACGACCUUCUCGACCUCAGAAAGUUAGUUUUUAAGUUGAUUCAUGAUCAGGAAAGUCAAUUUGGGCGAGUUUUAGAAUUUUUGGACAAGCAUAAGGGCGUGUUUGAAACUCCCAAACAGAGGCUCAGGGUAAUUAGCCCGCAAUGCCCUUCCUAGUUCGAUGCUGAGC
rnacentral:lncRNA from 1 species